rnacentral:tRNA from 1 species
GGCGCUGUGGCUUCGUUGGUUAAAGCGCCUGUCUAGUAAACAGGAGAUCCUGGGUCCAAAUCCCAGCAGUGCCU